UACAUUUAAGAUGUUUCAAUUAUAUGCUUAUCUUGUGUGGAUAGAAUUUUCAUAUUGCAACUAAUUUAGAUAAUAUAUCUUGACUGUGUUCUAUGUCUUAAUACUUUUUGCAUAAUAUUAAAAUAACGUGCACAUAAAAUGAAAACAUAAGAGAUAUAUCAUUAUGUAAACUAAUUAAAGUUAUAUUAUUUUUCGAUUUGAUUUUACGUAUAGAAUCUACUUACAUAAAUAAGCAUAUCAUUUAACAGCUGUACAACACUACCGUUGAAUAUCGGCAUAGUUACAUUUUAUUAAGAAUUAUGACUGACUUGAUAAUGAACUUUAAUAUUGAGUUUGCAGGUGGAUGUCUCCAGGAAAAAUAAAACCAGAAAAUAUUUUUCAUAAUGCUUUAUAUAUACUGAUGAGGAAUCUCUAUAAACUUGUAUUUUUUAAUACCACCCUAUACGCUACUUCCUCAAAUAUUACUAUUAGAGUCUUAUAGAAAUUUUAAGAAAAUCAGUUCAGUUCCACUUCUCUACGAUACGGGAUGAAAUGGAUAUCUCUCUUUGUCGUGCUUUCUCUACAUAUAAUCAUCAUCAUUGGCAUCAUGUAUAGGAGAACGAAGAGAUCUUCUCAACUUCAAUUUAUUUCGUAUGUUAUAUGGAUUCUGCAAGGUAACUUGGUUAAAAAAUAUUAAUUAAAACAUAUAUAUACACAUACAUAUUAUAUAUAUACACACACACACACAUACACACACACAUAUACAUACGGAAAAUUUUUUAUAGAUAAAUUAGUGCGGUGGAGAAUAAAAUAGUGUGAAUAAUUGAUAUGAAUAGACGUGACAAAGAAAAUAGAUCGGUUUCGGUAAACAAUCUAAUAAAAAAUAUAUAGUAAAAGAUACAAAUUUGAGAAUGAACAAAAAAAUGAAGUUACCUUGAGAAGUUCUAUAUCUGUAAUAAUGAACGAACAGACGUACGAACACACGAACGAACAGAACAGAACAGAACAAGUGAAACUAAUUAAUUAGAUUAAAAAUUAGUGUAAAAAGUUUAUUAUCGAAAUUCAAUUGUUUCGGGUUUAUUUAACCCUUUCGCUACGGGCGCGUUUUCCUUACAAGUAAGCAACAAAACUGCAUGCUGCAUAAGAUCUAUCGUCAGCGGCCGAGAUUGAUUAUUCUGAUGCAUUACGUUUGCUGAUAUUGAGAGAUUUUUUUCUUCAGAGAGACGUCCAGAGUUGGGAUACUUCAUGUGCCAUAACUGCAUAUGCUCUUGUCAUAUAAAAAAUACGUGAAAUUUUAUGAAGAGCGACUAUAUUCGCCCGUAGUACCUUCGUGUGGGCAUCUUAUGUAGAGCGAUUAUAGUCGCUCGUAGUAACGAAAGGGUUAAAAAAGAAAAAAAAAGUAAAACAAAAAAAAAUAGUUCAACAGUGAACGAGCACACCGAUGCGAGUCCACUACUUCAAGAUAUUACUAAAUCAGCCAUAGUUGGAUCUAAUUCAAGGAACGACCAUUUGAUUGGAAUAAUUGUGAUGAUGUGAUUUCUGUUCGAAGAAGAAAAAAAAAAGGAAAUUAAAUAAGAGAAGAAACGAAAUAAAAGCGGUAGUGUGUGUUCUUUGCUCAAACUACACCAUUACUCUCGUUAAUGAAUAGAUUCUAUUUGAAACGCAAAUUAACAUAUUGUUGGAAAUCAUUUUUUAAAUAUUUCAUUAUUCAUUUAUUUAUUUCAAUCAUUUUUAUAGGGUUUCAUAUAGCUGUGCCUUUUUUUUGGUAUGCCAUAGGACAUAUAUAUAUGUAUAUAUGUAUAUGUAUAUAUAUAUAUAUAUAAUCACAUUAAUACAAAUAUAGAGGGACGAGAUAUGCUUUGUCGCAAUUUAUUUUGAUGAUAAAUAAAAAAUAGAGAAAUAGAUCUCUAUUAUCAAUUACUUGAUUAUUCAUUUCUAUUAAUAUUUUGAAUUUUAUAAUAGGUACAAUUAAUCAAAGCAUAUUUUUCUUGUCUUUGAAAAGAACAUUUACAGAGAAAAAAAAAAAGAAUAAAUUAUAACGGUUCUGCAAUAAGUAUUUUUCAAUUAGUCAAUUGAAAUUCUCGCGCGCUAUUUAAAAAACAAAAGGUACAAACAAAGAAAACAACUAGAGACGAAUAAAAGAGUAUUGUUUCCUGUAUAUGCGCGCGCGUUUUCCUAUCCAUAUACAUAUAUAUAUAUAUUAAAUACGUAAUAUAUACGAUAUAAGUAUAGAAUUGGUAUAUAAUUUAUUUUUAGCAUACCAUGGUUACACAUUUUACAUAAUGAAACGUAAUAGCAUUUUAUGUAUAUUAAAGGCUUCUCUUUAUAUAACACGAAUUUCAAUUAUUUAACAACAACAACAACACACAACACAAAAAUAAAAAAAAAAACGAUACUACUUCACGAGUAUUUAAACGAAAGUAAUUUAUUUGCGAUCGAUCAUUUAUCAAAUAAAUUAAUAAAAUUCUUUAGAGAUCUCUUGAAGAAUUAAAUCAUUUCAACAAUCGAUAAAAGUUAAUUAACUUCAAACGAUUUGACUGAAUUUACUUACGUUUUAAUACAUUCCAGUCUUCUUACAUUUUAAUAAUUUGAGUGAUAAAAGAAAUAAAGAUGGAGAGAGAGAGUGAGAGAGAGAGAAAGAGAAAGAGCGAGUCGUAUUUGUAUUUAUUUAUUUGGAUGAUUUAUACGAUAUUCGUUUUGAGAAUAACAACAACAAUAAUAAUAAUAAUAAUAAUAAUAAUAUUAAUCGUAAUAUUAGAAAACAAUAUGAGAAUGCGAUUUCAAACAACUGUUAAAUAAAAUGUUGAUAAAGUAAAAUAAUUUCAUA
rnacentral:lncRNA from 1 species